AGGAGUUAAUCCCCCCCCUAGCCCCUCUCAGCCACUGUGAUGGGAUAAUUAGAUGCGAGGGCUCACCACAGAUGAUGCUCCAGUUGCUUAGCAACUAAUGGUUUCCAUAGAAACAGCAAAGCACAGCCUUCGGAGCAGCAAGUGAGCAGUGCAGCAGGGCAGGGAAAGAUGCCUUAAACUCCUGCACUGAUGCUCUCCUCCAGAAUCAUUCAGAGGCCUAGAGGACACUGGCAGUACGCACUCCACUCUGCCACGUGCCAUCUCUUCUUGGCAGCGAAAUGGAGAGCAGGGCAGACCCCUCCAUCCCUGGGGCAGUAGCUGUGCCAGAAGAUGGGACACACGUGCUGCUGGUGACGGGCAGCCAGGCUGGACUCUGGAACCCCUGCGUGCCUUAGUCAAAGCCACCAAAUCCCAGACGCUGUGGCUCCUUCCCCCUGUCGCUGCACUGUUACCUCACCCUACCCACAAACCUGGGGAUGCCGGUUGCCACGGCCACGAGGGUGGAGCAUCCCACUGGCCAAUUUAGCCAGAAGCCAGGUCUCCUUCCUGGAGUCCUGUCCUGAUCCACCCAGUGCUUCAGGAAGGUACAGAGAGGAGACACUAAAAAACUUGUGGGCCAUUUCAGACUCUGUCCCCUAUGGCUUUCAAAGUGGGAAAUCAAAGGGAAAUGAUGUGCUUUGUUCCACGGGGGAGCGGCAGGAAAGGUGAGCAGAAACGAGCCUGGCGGAACUGGUCGCUUCAGUCGUCUGCUAGCUCACCUUUGAAGUGGUUUUAAAAAUCAGGGAGGAGGGGCAGAUAUGAGUUCAGCUCUUUACUGCAGCUUCACAGAAUUUGAAGACGUGGAGGGUAAGAGGCCACCUUUUCCCCACCAGAAAAUAGUGUAUCCAUUCAGAGAGAAGAGAAUACAGCUAAUAAAACAGGCUGUGAUGCU